UACGUUCAGGCAGCAAUAAGAUUUCUCUGUUAAGUGCUUCCGUUGGUCUUCCUAAUGUCGGGGAGCAUUUUGAGACAUGUAAUGCUGGAGUGCUUGGUCCAGUUACACUGAAUGGUCUUAAUGAGGGACGAAGAGACCUUACAUGGCAAAAAUGGAGCUAUCAGAUUGGUUUGAAAGGGGAAGAAUUGAAACUUCAUUCUCUUACCGGAAGUUCGAGCGUUGAGUGGGGUCAAGCAUUUCAAGA